CUUCCCUAAGUUUGUAUAGGUGUUCUGCUGAGUUCCCUUCUAUAAUGUUGGUUUUUAUGUGUACUCCUACGGACUGUUGGUGUUGUCGCUUAUUCGAUGCACAAAAGUGACGUGAUGAGACAACUUCUAUCAAUUUUAGUUCCCUAUUCUAUGGUUCUCAUGCUUUAGCAUGCAGUACAAGAUCUGACGUUGUUGGAUGCAGCAGCAGAAACAAGCGUGUCUGUGUGUUUUAACAUACAUGCCAUGAACACUUCAGAAACGGUGCCAGAAGUGGCUGCAUACCCUGCCGCAUGGAACACUACAGCCCCUUUGGAGAAACUGCCUCUGGACUCCAACUUUGCUUGGCUGCUGUGUGCACUGCUCGCAGCCACCGCAUGGGUUAUCUACAUCACAUUCUACAAUGCCCGUGUUUUGGGCUUCCUGCUCACCAAAAUCCUCAACCGUUUUGUGGGGAAAGCAUAUCUCAAAAUUGGAUCUGUGUCUCUCUCGGUGCUCUCGGGGAAGCUGAUGUUCCGAGAUGUCGCAUAUGUCACCCCAGAUUACACCAUACGCGCUCAGGAUGGCUGGGUGAUUUUUCGCUGGUGGAUUCCAUAUGUCAGAAAGGAAUUUCCUCGCACAUGUGCCGAUGCAGAGGCUCGUGUGUUUGUGCUCCUAAAUGGCCUGGAGCUGCACAUUUAUAACCGGUCCCAGCUGUAUGCACACUUGGAGCAACUGUUUGGCCUGGAACCCACUGUGCUGCCCAGCAGUCAUGAGCAACUCAAGCCUGAAGAGCCAAAUAAUGCAGUGGAAGAUCAUCCUUGGCGAGACCUUGUCCCGGUUGUUAAGCUGGAAGUAUCAACUGGCCGCUUGGUAUUUGGAAAUCGUCUUCUCCCGACGACGAUUUCAAUUCGUUUUGAAGAAGGCCAUGCUACGUACAAGACAAGAGCUGCUGCAUCCAGGAUUGACUUGUUUCAGCACACACUUGAUUGCCGGCUUGACAGUUUCAAGGUUAUGUUGGCUCCCAGCCCAAAGUACAUAGGUGUACCUGAUGAACCACCACGCUUCAUGGGUGAAGGCUUUGUUGUGCUCCAGUCAAACAGGGUUCAUCUGUUCUACUAUCAAGAUGAAGCAGGAUUGGUUCCAGCUGAGCAGGAAGUGGUGCAGCUAGCUAAUGGCGACCUGGUGGAACGGCGCAGUGCUCCAACAUGGGGCCUGGAUGCCAAGUGUGGACGAGGCACCAGUUUCAGCUAUGGCCCAUGGGCAGACCGUCAGCGGGACAAGCUGAUGCAGUUCUUCUUCCCACAAGACUACCAGCCUUUAAAGCCCACGCCUCAGCCUCAAGUGGGUGAGAGGCGGUGUGCACAGUCAUUUGAUCUGCGCCUCAGCACCACAGCUGAUGCUACCUUGGAUCUACUGUUCUCCAAGGAAAAGGAGACCAAUGCUGUGCACAUGACGGUAAAGCAAGGCUCGUACUUGGAGCUGACCCUGCCUUGGCAAGUGAUUGAGGAAGGCUACACUACUCGAGUGACUGGUCAGCUUUUUCACUUGGAAGCCUCAACCAGUCUGCCUUUCAGAAAUUUACUGGAGAGCGAGAUUCUUGGUUUUGAUGUACAAGGCAAGUACCCACUUAUCUGGAAUGGCCAUCAAGAUUGGCAGUGCAGCUUGGCUGGCUGCCGCAGCUCACUCACAUUGCUGCACACACACAAGGGCUUCUUUCAAGCCUUGGUGGAAGACUGGGCAAGUAAGGCUCGGCCAGAUAUUCUUCGCUUUGUCCCCUACACCUGGCACCUCAACAUUGUGUUGACUGAAUUUGAGCUCAUUACACUGGCCAACGAGUACAACUGGGUUGACUGUGCUCAUCAGGAAAAUGCCCGGGUGGCCUUCUGUGGUGAGGUCUUCGACUUGUCAUUUGACCUUCCCUUUGUGGAUUUCCUGCCCCCUCAGCUUGGACUCAAGUUUUGGAUUCAGGCUGAAAGUGUUUCCAUGUUGGCCUCUCUACCUGAGGGGGAUCCCCAUCGUGAACUGCUCCUGCUGCUAGACCGUAGUGCCUUGGUUACUGACCGAAUGGGAGCUCCCAGACUACAGCCGCCUCCAGACAAGAAAUGGCACUUUGUAGCCCAGCCCAGCAAGGGAUGGGUGGAAGUCGUCUCAGUGCCCAUAGUGGCACUCAGCCUGCAGUAUACCUACCACCCCAUUCCUCCAUUGGACUUUGCACACCCACUGGAUUUCGAUGUGACAACACCUGAAAAGGAAGAGCUGCUGCUUUCACCAAUCCGUCCGCCCAAAAAGCGUGCAGUACUGGUAGCCCCAGAUGACUUUGAUCCAGGUUCCAUGGUGCCCGAUGUUCUUUCACUGGAGCUCGAGAUUGGACCUUCGGUCCUGUCAUUAGAAGGCGUGGUGCUGCACUUGUUGAUGCAGCUGAAGGAAAACUACUUUGGGGCCUGUCAGGACUACGUUGACAUGGAGGCUGAUGCACCUACUACAGCUGUGAGGCUGCCUGAAGGAGAUUUCGAUCCGCGCUGCUUCAGGCCUCUUGAUGUGCGUGCAACGCUUAUCAUGCAUGACAUGCAAGGCCAUCUCAUGAAGGGCUGCAGUGAGCAGGAGCCUCCGUGCCCAUCCCUGUACCUGGAGCGCCUUCAGCUGGAAGUCUGCAAAAGCCAUCGCGAGAGCCAGCUGCAGCUUUUGCUCUCACCACUGGUGGCUGUCUGCCCGGGAGACAGGUCACAGGGACACCUCGCCCUGUCUUCGUUUCAAGUACGUGCACAAGCGUUGUUCUCGGGAGCAGAACGUCCCCUUGGCAGUGAGACUCUAGAGUAUGCCUGGCUGGUGGAACUUCAAGCAGGAGAUAUUACUGGACGGCUCACUGUUCCUCAGUUGUAUGACCUGGUUGCUGGAGCAGAGCUAUUCGUGCAGCAGGCACAGCACAGCAGUGCAGCGUUGGUGCCCCCCCAAGGCCGCAUUCACUGUCGGCAUGACCAACCUCAGAAUGAGUGCUCUCAUGCUGAGUCUGGCUGUCCGUGCCCUGUAUCAGAUGACCUCAAAUACCGCAUGACAAGGUUAUCCCUGGACUAUGUUGACGUCUGCUUGGAAGAGGCCAGCUCAGUUGUCUGCUUUGAGCUAGGACCACUAAAGCUCACCCAAUGCAACUUACACUCGGACCAGACAACUUCAGGACUAAGUUUACAGCUGCGAGCUGUAAAUGUAGCACAGUUCCUGCUGUCUCAUGAUGGGCCUUGGCUCCAGACUGGCAAGCUGGAGUUUGGGCCUCUUGUGAUGGACAACUGGGCACAGGGGCUGCUGCCUCAAAAUAGCCAGGAGGGCUUCCUUCGAGCACAUGACAAAACAACACACCGGCUUUGGUUCCUGUGGGGAGACAACCGUGCUGGAGGUCGCUGUGGCUGUCUAGGCGGUUGCUUCUUCUUUGGCUCUGAUGAUGCGACAGAUAGCUCACCUGCGGGUGAUGCCGGGCAGGGAGAAGAAGAAUCACGCCACUCUGUGUUCCGCCAGCACAGCAGCCCAGCACAUCGCCAGCCAGCUGCCGUUAGCUUUGCCCGUUCCGCUUCGGCAUGUGACGGGCCUGACAGCCGUUCCCGAGAGGCAGCUGAUGAUGCGACUGAUCGUAGACGUAGCAAUGGCUCAGCUGUGCGGCGUGCGGUGUCAACAGACUCUACGCACUCCUCGGAAGCAUUCUUCUCUGCUGAUGAAGAUGGGGCUGCUGCUGGGCGUUUACAAGAUGACAGUGAUCAAAACUCGGACAGGAGGCGCCGGUCAUUUUGUGUGCGGGGCUCAUCUUCGGCCAGCUCCAGUCUUGACCGGAGACGCCAUGCCAAGGAGCAGGACCCUGAGGCUGACUCCAACUCUGUGUCAAGCACCUCUUUUCUCUCAGCUGUGUCAUCACAGGAGGAUGUUACCCUUGUGAACCUGCACCAUCAAAUGGAUCGUCCAAUAACCGAGUCUCCUCUGCUGAUGGCUUGUUAUGCAGCCCAUUUGUCACAGUACCAGGUGGCCAACUGGGAGGAGGCUGUGGCACCUCUGCCUCACUUGGUGACACGACCCACAGACGGGGCGCCUCCUUCAGCCUCCUGCUUUCUGCACACCAGCUCGUGCUGGAAACCUCGCUUCACACCUUGGGGCACCCGCGGCUUCUCUGAUGUGCACAUGGUGGCACGGGCACGGAGAGCUGCAUCCAUUGGAGCUGCUGGCAGCAGUGCUCGUCCAUCACACUUCCCCACCAAAAAUAAUGCAGAGCAGCAGCAGCAGUGGGCCCAGCCGCUAUCGUUGCGCAGUGCAGUGGUGGUGCGCCUGCAAGGAGAUGUACAACUGCUGGUGUCGCCACCCCUGCUGGAAGGAGUGCGAGGCUUUGCUGAGGCCCUGGUGCCUACACUGGCAGCCCUGCACCCGACCACCGUGCUGGGCCGGCUGAUGGCACAGUGCUGGAGGGCAGUCAAAGGCAGCACGCCCCCGACAGCUAGCCACCCAUCUCAGGGACCCUGCCCUUCCGAAGGGUACCAUGAGACGCACACAGAACAGGUGCAACUCUGGCUUCAUGUACCCCGUGUGAAUGUCAUGGCACUACAGUGUUCGGUUGUGGAAGAAUUGAUUGCAUUUUCUGCUCUAGACAAUCUCAAGGACUUGGCCUGUGUGUCUGUCUUGGCCCUCUGCUUAGACCAGGUGCAAGUGCAGAUGCUGCAGAGCCAACAGGCGCAACGGUGCCUACAAGUGCUGCCUGAGGCACAGGAGCAGAGCCCACCACUUGGCCGGCGCCGCGAAAAGCCACUGCUGCUUGAGACGAGCCUGCCGGGCCACCACCAGGGUGUGGCCACCAUCAGCCUGGGUGCAGCUCAUGCUCAACUGCGGCGCCUGCGCAACUGCAGCUCCUCGUUGCUCAAGGAGGCCACUGUGACGUGCGUGGCACCCCACCACAGCAAGGUGUGCUUCACAUUUGAAUGCCCUGACUGGGAGAAGGUGGAUGACAAGAUGGGCUUCAUCAUGACCGAGUGUGGCGUGGAAGGAGCUAGCUUGAAGCUGGUGGGCCAUGGUGGGCCACACAGCACCAACCUCGAGGCCCUGUACUCUGAAGGAGAGCCAUCCUGUGAUGCUUUGCUCCUACUUGAGAUCAAGACGGUCUGGUUCAACUUUGCCGCCCCUCCACGCACCACCAAUGCACACCGCACCGACUUCACCAGGUUGGACUGGCAUCUUCUGAGCACAAUGACCCCAUCCAUAAAUGCCUGGCUCAAGCCAUGUGACCGGCUCCUGGUGGCUUUACGCAAAGCUCAGCAGACAGAACAGCAGCGUCUUUGUUCAGUGCUUGCCUGGCUCAUGGCGGAGGCGAUGGAUGCACAGGGGGGACAUCUGCCACCUAGGGGAAAACAACUUUAUGGAAAGCUGACGCCUCUUGCUCGAGCACUUCAGGAGGAGCCAUCAUGCCAGUUGUUAUCGGCAUUGUGCCGUUUUCUGCCUGAGGCACCCAGCCCUGAGGAAUGCCUUGGCGCCCAGCAUGUGCCGCCACUGAGCACACUGCGACGUGGUCUCUUGGCACUCAGCCGCCAGUGGAAACACCUACUGUACAUGCCUCUGCUGGUUGAGCAGAACAGCCGGCUUCGUAAACGUACACGGCCGGAGCCACCAGCUCAGCUGCUGGGUGUGCCCUUGCGUGAGGAUGAGCCCCCAUGUGAUGAAACUGCUUGCCUGCUGGCCGAGGACGCGACGGGUGCUGCACAGGCGGCCAGGGAGACCAAGACAGCUCGCCCAGGAGCCUUCCCACUUCUGGGUGCACCUCUGGAUUCCCCGCUACACUAUGGUGGCAUGCUGUAUCUUGGAAAAACGCUGGAGCACGGCAUCUCAUGCAUGGUGGCCAACAGUGGUCGUCUGCGAGGCUCACACCACAGCCUGGCUACCUGGAGCUUUUCUAGCGUCGAACCCAUUCUGCGCUCCUCCCUGGACCCAGCAAACGACGAUGAGGACUUGUACAACUGGAUGGCACGUCAAAGGGGACCCUCAUCACCUAUCGAUUCACCCUCAAGUCGCAGUGCCCUGCGAGAUUCGGGUGUGCCCACCGGAGGAAUCCCUGAUGCCCAAACUGUCUUCGAGCCACUCCUGGAAGUGCUGGGAGCCUGUGCCCUCAGUUUGCAAACGCCAGGGCCACAAUUGGCUCUUUCAGCUGUUGCAGAACUUCUGCGCGUAGACCUUGUGGAAUCGGAGAGUCCCGAGCAGCCGCAGAGAAGACGUUCCAAGCCUGGCCAGCGGCUCUUUGUGGACACAAGCACGGACACACCGGCAUUGGUGUGCGACCGGCUGGCAUUGGAACUUGACAUGCGUCACCCAGGAAGCCCUGGCACCUGUGCUCACAUUGCAGUAGAUGUGCAGUAUGUGGCUCAGCAGGUGAACAUGCCAUUGCUGCGACUGUUGAACCAGUUCUCAAGCAUGUAUGAGAAUGUGAAGGAGACGCGGCUGGAGCUACAGUGCCGCCGACCUCGAGCUGACUCAGUGAUUGUGCAGCAGCAGCCAGGCCUUGGUGGCAGCCAGGAGUCGGUCACCCCUGCACAGGCAGGGCAAGGCACACCACGCUGCUGGAAAACCAUGUGUUUCCUGCUUGACCUGUACGAGACCAUGCCCCCUUCACAGGCCUUAGCUGACAGGUUCACAAUAUCUGUGGGAGCUGAGCACAAGAUUGAUGCCUCUGAAGGCUACAGAGGCAAUGGCAAGUACGAGCACCUGCAUGAGCAUCGUGUUGAUAUCGAGAAUGGGGAUGCUCAGGCCAGGCCAGGCCACAGAGAGAUGCCUUCGCGUCCAGCAGCUGCUGCUGCUGAACGUGUACCAUUGGCAGUGUUUGCAAUGGGCCAUGUGAAGAGAAUCCGGCUUCUGGCCAUGCUCAGUGGACUUAGACUUGAGGCAGAGCUGUCUGGACUGCAGGCUAGCGGCACACACAAGGAAACGCUUCGUGACGGAAGUCACCAGAGUGAGUCAUCUGCAACCGGUCGCCUUGGACCAGCGAGUGUGGUCCUGCUGGAGGGCCAGCCUCCAAACCACCAAAUGGUGGUUACCAUGGCUGUUGGUACAUCACAAGCGCUGGGCUGUAGUCGUGGCUGGGGUCCCACAGCACGGCAUGCAGCCCUGAUGUCGGUUGGGGCCGUGCACAUCGACAUACCGCAACACCCCGUGGUGCUUCACAGCAUGGUCACUCGCUCAAGCAAGCAGCUAUCCACCACUCUACAGGAACUACGCCGCAGUGCUCCGGGGCGCACAGCUCAGCGGCCACCCAUGGAAGAGAGAACCCUGCAGGGUGGCCCCAUGCCACCAGCAGUGAAUCCACGACCUGUGCCACCUGUCGUGAGGCUAGACCUGCUGUUGGAGGGAUUGACAACUGGAGCAGCACUCUUGCCUUCUCUGCGGGCACACUACCACAUGGGGCCCCUGACCGGCACCGGUUGCACGGGUGCCCAGGCUCGCUUUACGGUCCACUUGCCGCAACACUCGCUCAGUUUCAACACAAAGGUGCCCCCAGCGUGUGAAGCCAACCUUCCCUCGCGUGCCAGUGUGGAGCUGCCACCCGUGCAGGUGGCGGCCGAGUAUCUGCAAGACCCAGGUGGGCCCUCGCAGAGGGAUGCGGAUGGCGUAGUGCUGCGUCGGGGCUCCUACCUCAGCGCCCUCGCUGAGAUUGGCACGUUUGAGCACAGCCUCACCACCGACUUGCUCAACCACCUGGUGCUGGUGCAAAAGGUCUUUAUGAAGGAGGUGAACGAGGUUGUGCAGAAGAUGUCUGGCACACGACCACUGCGCCUUUGGGAGGGUGGUGGUGGCAGCAGCAGCAACAGUGCUCUGGGUGGAGGCCAGCUGCUAUUCUCUCUGCAGCUGCGACUGCGGGGCAUCCGGCUCACUGCCACGACCCCCACAGCUAGUGCUGUGCGCCUCGAGACAGGCACCCUGGACUUGCAGCUCUCCAACAGAGUGCAAAAUGCCUCGCGUGCGGUCACAGCCAUGAAACUCUUUGGGAAAGGCCAGGUGGACCUCAGCCUGGCUCUGGGCCAGCUGGUCAAGAACACAUUGUUUGAAGAGGCAGAAUUUCAGCAGUUUGCAUUCUUCAAGACUCGGAUAUGCUUACGCAAUGCUCUUCAAGAUGAAAUGAUCUCCAGCCAGUACGAUGACAAAGAGGCUGUUCUUAUCACAAUGAAUCGGCCCAUGAUUUACUUUCAACCUAUUGCUCUUGAUAAAGCUGUCCUUGUCUGGCUCAACUACAAGAAUGCUUAUGAAUACUGGAAUGAGCAGCGGGGAAGCCUAAAUAAGGAGGUACUGACAGCCACCCAACAGCUGUUCGAGCGGGUGCCACAGUUUCCUCAGCUGAGCAGCCAAGCACUGGGCACGCUAUUUCUCCAGCUGACAGUGCAAGACCUGGGCAUCUGCAUGCCACUGAACAAAGGGACACUAACGAACAGCAGGCUGUUUGAUGCUGAUGCCACUCCAGCAGUUGUGGUGACUCUGGAGAACACACGGAUCUCCGCUUGCUCAUGUGGCUCCCUUGUGAGCAAAGCCCGAUUCACAGGAUUGUGCCUACGCUUUGCGGAUGAGUUUGAAGUGUCUGUGGAGGAUUGGAAGCCAAGUGAUGCCACUACUACAAACCUGUGUGUGGUGUCUGAGGGCACUUACGAGAUCUGCUCCCGCACUAUUGCAGCCCAAGCUGGCAGCAAUGCCAAGUGGAUUCUGAAUGUCCAGUGGCAAAUGGAAGGUGUGGACAUUCAUGUUGAUGUGGGCAUCAGCAAGGCUCUGUCAGCUUUGUUCCGCACACUCACUGCCCUGACGGGAGAAGGUGACGAGGGUGAAAGCCCCGAGGAGCAAGCCCGUACAGCACAGGAACCAGUGACCCUGAGACAUGCCUGCUUGCUGCUGGACCCCAGUGUGGAUGCCAAGAAGCGUUCCAGGCUGAUUGAGAAAGAGAUGAAUGAGCAGGCCAAGAUCAUCAGCGACCUGCGCUUCUUGGGUGCCAGCCAGAGCACCAUUGAGCAAGAGGAGAGGCGGCUCAAGGAGCUCGAGACGGCCGUCUUCAACGACUUCCGCCGAGAUGUGAUCAAGAAGCUACGCAGGCAGAGUGUCAAGGCAGCAUCCAUCAAGGACAAGCUUGGUCUGGGCACUGUGUCCCGGUUGCCUGCCGACACACCCGAGGAAGAGGCCCGAAUGGCCAACCACCUGGAGCAUGCGACGCCGCCAUCGUCUGGUGGAGGAGUUCCCGUCUCCCCAACCAAGGAUGGUGGCACACACAUACGCACUGCCUCAUUCGACAUGUCAGACUUGCCAGCCACCCCAAGGCGGCCCAUGUCACUGGUGCACAGGGAGCUCUCGCUUGACAGCGUCUUCUCACAGACAACUGCUAGUGUGACCAAUAGUGGAGCGCCAACCCCCACUAGUGAGCCCUCAGAGCCUGCCCUAAGCCCACAGGAUGACAUUUUGCCCCCACCGGUCGCUGAGGCACGUGCAGGCCACACCACGCCUGUGCCUUCGAAGCAGCAGCAGCAGGUGGAGCCCAGCAUUGACUUUGAGCUGGACAUUAAGGUGUUCUUCAACAGUGGCAAGUGUGUGCUGCACACCAGGGACCAUGAGGAGGAGACCAUCAAAAUGAGCCGUCCUAUGCGCAAGGAGCGCAGCUUCUCUGGAGGCCUUCCAGAUGGCGGCUCUCCGACGAGACGUCGCAGUGGCCCUCGCAGCCAUCCUUCAUCCUCUCGCAUGCGCUUCCCCCCUGUGGCUUCAGCCACUCCCAGCCAGGUGACAACGGACUUCACAGUGUUUCUGGUGCCAGGCCUAGAUGUGAAGGUGCACUACAAUUCAUGGACCAUGGGAGGGGAGAGUCCAGUUGAUCCACCUGCUCGCAAAGGGGGCACAAAAAAGGCCACACUAUUUGCUUGGAUAACACUGCAAAGCAUCCCAGAGGAAACAGUGAUAAGCCCACACAUCCUGGACUUCCUGGAACAAGCACUUGAAGCCAUACCCAUGCAGCAGGCUGCAAAAGCAUCACCUGUGGCAUCAGUUGAUGGAGGCCUGGUACUAGAAGAGAGCCAGUAUGGCUCUUUUCCGGUGGACGUCAUUGUCUACUUCCGCAUGCAGCCAUCCAUCUUGCGCUUCAGCUGCUUGCCUGUGUCGCGAGUAGAAUGCCUGUUGCGGCUUCCCUCGGUUGACCUGGCCUUCUCGUCCAAACGGGCCGAUGAGGGGCCAGUGGGUGGCCUGUCAGCCACGGGUUGCCUGGCCGACUUCUCCCUCUACAUUUUCCACCCAUAUGGUGGAGCCAAAAAGAUGGCUGCCACAGCUGACGCUUCCCCACUGGCUGUCACAGAGCGCAAGGACUCAUUGUCACUGCAAGUGGAGUUUGUCAAGGUCAACAUGAGCCGUAGCCGUCACAUUGGUGUGGACAAUGGCCGAGCCUUGAUCCGUUUCUCAGCGCUGUGUGAUGUUGGCUCUGCCUCAUUUAAGUAUGACAUGAGACGUCUGACAGAGAUUCUAGCUUUCCCCAAAGCCUGGUAUCGACGUAGCAUUGCUCGCCGCAUGUUCCUAGGAGACCCCGCCACUGCAGGCUCAGCUUUUGGUGACCAAGCCGAAGACUCAGCCGAAACAAGUAGCAGCAGUGGAACCCUGUCCCCAAGUCGGGCUGAUUCAUUCCCCUUUGGAAGCUUGGAGCUUGGCUCACCUGAAGAGGAAGCAGCUCCCUUUCCUGAAGAACGGCCAGCACCUCCCAGGGGUCAAGCAUGGGAGACACUUCUGCUGUAUGCUUUGAACCUGUCCCGUCUUAAUGUUCACAUGAACAUGGGCAACGUUAUGGGCAAUACUUCGUGGCUGACGCAAGGCUUCAGGUCCCAGGGUCGCCUGGCGAUUGACAGUCGUGGCCACAAGGACCUGAAUUUGGCAGUGGACCUUGAUGGCUCUAGCCUUGAUGCCAAAGGAGGCAUUGUUGGUGGGGCCAUCGAGCUUAGCCGUAUUCACACACACAUGGGCCUGCAGGAAAGCUGGGGCCGUGAGCCAGUGCAUACAUUGACGCUGGCACUGUGGGCAGCUGAGAGUCGGCUCGACUACAUGGGCAGCAGUGUGCUCAUGGGCCGGGUCUCCCAGCUCACUGUGGAGCUGCGGGAUGAGUGGCGGCUCUGUGAAGGCUGUGAGGCUACCAAGCGACCGGCACUGCUGUUUGUCCAUGGCCAGGUGCACUGGGAUCAACUGCAGUUGCUUAUCUCCAAGUCAACCACACCCGACCUGGCUAAGAUGGGUGCCAAGCUGGAGGAGUUCUUCUCCCAGCAGUUCCACAGUAGUAGACGUGUGUUCUCGUCCAUGCGGCUGGCUGGGCCUCGACCACGUCGUGCCGACCGCAUGGGUGGAGGAGGAGAGGAGAGCCGGCAUGCCAAUCAGCGACACUGGCAAGGGGCCCUAGCACUGGUCUCAGGCCUGCAGCUGGGCUGGGGUCUACGCCUGCCCCUGCACGGCACCUUGGUGGGCGGGAGCAUGGACCUGCGAGGUGGGAACGUCUCACUCGCCUGUUUUCACGGCGUCAGCUUUCGAUCCAAGGCCUGGGCCCUGUUCAGCCUUCGGCAGCCCAGCAUACACUUUGCCACUGAGGCCCAGGAUGUGCUUGGCCCGCAGGCGGCUGUGGACACACAUGUCGUGCAGCACCUGACUUUUCGUCUGGGUCAUGCGGCCGGAUCUUCGGGCAGCACUGGCAGUAUGGCCACCGUGUGCCGCAUCAGUCGCAAUGUCCUCUUCCCACCGCAGUUCAAGAGUGUGAGCGAGUGGUUCCAGUAUGCAUUUGCCAGUAGUGAGCUGGAUGACGUGGGUCGCUUCCCUGUGUUUGAAGGACGACCCACACCACCACGCCCACCCGAGGCUGGCCACACAAUGGAGAUGAUCUUUGCCUUCCCCAGCCUUGAGCUGCACAUGAAGACAGAGCAGCUGCAGGGCGAGCACAGUCCGGGACCUGACGAUUCCAGACCAGUGGUGGAGUGCAGCUUUGUCACUGAGUUUGACGACCAUAUCUUUGUGGCUGUGGAUGCAGAAGCUUUCUUUUUCCUGCACAACCUGAUCGUGUCGUACAUCCGAGAAAAAGACGGUGGUGGGGCAGCCAAAAGCCAGUCACCAGAAAGUGAGCGGCGAAAGCGAAGUGUAGCAGAGUCGUUGGAGUCCCUGCAUCGAGACUUCCGCGACUACCAGUGCUACACCUGGCACCUUGAGCCCACUGUGCGCCUUCUAUCAUGGGCGGGCAAGGGCAUUGAACCUUAUGGCGUGGACUACAUUUUGCACAAGCUGGGAUUUUCACAUGCUCGUGUUACUAUACCAAAGUGGCUGCAGCGAGGAUGCAUGGACCCCCUGGACCUGUUCCUGUCGCUCAUGCUAGAGCGCAUGCUUAAGGCUGUGCGACAGCACUGAUAUACUGUCCAGUGGAUAUUGCUGCAGCUUAGGCUAAUGAGCAAUGAUUGUGAUUUAUUGAGUCAUGGUUGUGCAGCAACUUUAAGUUAAACUUGGCUUUUUGCAUAAAUGAAACAUGCAAGAAGCAAAUUUAUCUAGAAUUUGUUGUAUAUUGUUAGACUUUCAGUGAUUGUUUGGUUUGCAUUGUGCUCGGUAUGCACACUGAUUUGUUGAUAUUAUUUACAGUAUAAUGAAUGAACUGAAAUAGAUGGCAAAAUGACAAAUGUGUCAGUGUUUGUUAUAAUCAAGCAGUGAGCAGUUAAGUUUGCCUUGCUCACUUAGACACCACACCUAAGAUUUGUGCACCAUAAAGGCAAUCUUAGUAUUGUAUAAAGUACCUUGUGGCAUCCUGCUCUACAGCAGUGAAAAAUUCUUGGUAUGUUGCAUGUAUGGAAGCAAGCAUGGAAUGCUUUUUCAUAUUUCAUCAUAAGGAUACAAGUUUUGUUCUACUACUAGUGCUCCCAUAUGUCGAACAGCAUAAGGCAUGCGUCACAGGUUGCCUCACAGAACAAUUGCCCGUGCCCUUGUACAGCAGUCCUGUAGUGUCUUCUUCAGAGCAUCCAGUCUACGCACCGGACGGGCCCCUUGGAUCACAAGCCAACAGAUCGCCAACAGCAUCAAGCGAAGAUGAUAAAAGGUGCGGUGCGCUCGAACUGCUCUUCAGUGGGCUCGGAAACGCAACUGCGAUGGGCUUCGCUCUAACUCAUCGCCUUUUUGCCGUGCAGCAAAAGCUAGUGUCACGAUCCUCCUGGGUUCAUGAACAAGGGAGGGCUCGAGGCACCCUCCGUUAGAUGGACGCUCCGCAGUGUGGUGGUGCUGAACAAUGACUGACCGCCGAGCAGCUGUGCUCGCCAGUGUUUAUUGGUGCGGUGACCAAUGUUGCCUAACUGAGCCUGGCAGGCCACCGAGCCUGGCGGGCCAACGAAGAUUAUGCCCGAGGUGGCGUCGCAUGCUUGUUACAGCUAGGCUUUAAGGAAAAGUUUAGUGCACUCAAGACGAACAAGAACGUAGAAAAGACAACACAGCUCAGAUGUCGAUCCUUCUGAAGCUAGGAUUUUUUUGCAUCACUAAGUUUAAUCCCAUGAGGAGACGCAUGGUUGUAUCCAAAACAUUUUUUAUUAAAAUUCAAGCAUCA